rnacentral:rRNA from 1 species
UACGAAGGGGGCUAGCGUUGCUCGGAAUCACUGGGCGUAAAGGGUGCGUAGGCGGGGCUUUAAGUCAGGGGUGAAAUCCUGGAGCUCAACUCCAGAACUGCCUUUGAUACUGCAAAUCUCGAGUCCGGAAGAGGUGAGUGGAAUUCCUAGUGUAGAGGUGAAAUUCGUAGAUAUUAGGAAGAACACCAGUGGCGAAGGCGGCUCACUGGUCCGGUACUGACGCUGAGGUGCGAAAGCGUGGGGAGCAAACAGG